GGUUAAGCGACUAAGCGUACACGGUGGAUGCCCUGGCAGUCAGAGGCGAUGAAGGACGUGCUAAUCUGCGAAAAGCGUCGGUAAGGUGAUAUGAACCGUUACAGCCGGCGAUGUCCGAAUGGGGAAACCCAGUGCAAUUCGUUGCACUAUCGUUAACUGAAUACAUAGGUUAACGAGGCGAACCGGGGGAACUGAAACAUCUAAGUACCCCGAGGAAAAGAAAUCAACCGAGAUUCCCCCAGUAGCGGCGAGCGAACGGGGAGCAGCCCAGAGUCUGAAUCAGCUUGUGUGUUAGUGGAACGGUCUGGAAAGUCCGACGGUACAGGGUGAUAGUCCCGUACACCAAAAUGCACAGGCUGUGAACUCGAAGAGUAGGGCGGGACACGUGGUAUCCUGUCUGAAUAUGGGGGGACCAUCCUCCAAGGCUAAAUACUCCUGACUGACCGAUAGUGAACCAGUACCGUGAGGGAAAGGCGAAAAGAACCCCGGCGAGGGGAGUGAAAAAGAACCUGAAACCGUGUACGUACAAGCAGUGGGAGCACCUUCGGGUGUGACUGCGUACCUUUUGUAUAAUGGGUCAGCGACUUAUAUUCUGUAGCAAGGUUAACCGUAUAGGGGAGCCGCAGGGAAACCGAGUCUUAACUGGGCGUUAAGUUGCAGGGUAUAGACCCGAAACCCGGUGAUCUAGCCAUGGGCAGGUUGAAGGUUGGGUAACACUAACUGGAGGACCGAACCGACUAAUGUUGAAAAAUUAGCGGAUGACUUGUGGCUGGGGGUGAAAGGCCAAUCAAACCGGGAGAUAGCUGGUUCUCCCCGAAAGCUAUUUAGGUAGCGCCUCGUGAACUCAUCUUCGGGGGUAGAGCACUGUUUCGGCUAGGGGGUCAUCCCGACUUACCAACCCGAUGCAAACUACGAAUACCGAAGAAUGUUAUCACGGGAGACACACGGCGGGUGCUAACGUCCGUCGUGAAGAGGGAAACAACCCAGACCGCCAGCUAAGGUCCCAAAGUCAUGGUUAAGUGGGAAACGAUGUGGGAAGGCACAGACAGCCAGGAUGUUGGCUUAGAAGCAGCCAUCAUUUAAAGAAAGCGUAAUAGCUCACUGGUCGAGUCGGCCUGCGCGGAAGAUGUAACGGGGCUAAACCAUGCACCGAAGCUGCGGCAGCGACACUAUGUGUUGUUGGGUAGGGGAGCGUUCUGUAAGCCUGCGAAGGUGUGCUGUGAGGCAUGCUGGAGGUAUCAGAAGUGCGAAUGCUGACAUAAGUAACGAUAAAGCGGGUGAAAAGCCCGCUCGCCGGAAGACCAAGGGUUCCUGUCCAACGUUAAUCGGGGCAGGGUGAGUCGACCCCUAAGGCGAGGCCGAAAGGCGUAGUCGAUGGGAAACAGGUUAAUAUUCCUGUACUUGGUGUUACUGCGAAGGGGGGACGGAGAAGGCUAUGUUAGCCGGGCGACGGUUGUCCCGGUUUAAGCAUGUAGGCUGGUUGUCCAGGCAAAUCCGGAUAAUCAAGGCUGAGGUGUGAUGACGAGGUACUACGGUGCUGAAGUAACAAAUGCCCUGCUUCCAGGAAAAGCCUCUAAGCAUCAGGUAACAUUAAAUCGUACCCCAAACCGACACAGGUGGUCAGGUAGAGAAUACCAAGGCGCUUGAGAGAACUCGGGUGAAGGAACUAGGCAAAAUGGUGCCGUAACUUCGGGAGAAGGCACGCUGGUGUGUAGGUGAAGCCCCUGCGGGUGGAGCUGAGACCAGUCGAAGAUACCAGCUGGCUGCAACUGUUUAUUAAAAACACAGCACUGUGCAAACACGAAAGUGGACGUAUACGGUGUGACGCCUGCCCGGUGCCGGAAGGUUAAUUGAUGGGGUUAUCCGUAAGGAGAAGCUCUUGAUCGAAGCCCCGGUAAACGGCGGCCGUAACUAUAACGGUCCUAAGGUAGCGAAAUUCCUUGUCGGGUAAGUUCCGACCUGCACGAAUGGCGUAAUGAUGGCCAGGCUGUCUCCACCCGAGACUCAGUGAAAUUGAACUCGCUGUGAAGAUGCAGUGUACCCGCGGCAAGACGGAAAGACCCCGUGAACCUUUACUAUAGCUUGACACUGAACAUUGAGCCUUGAUGUGUAGGAUAGGUGGGAGGCUUUGAAGCGUGGACGCCAGUCUGCGUGGAGCCAACCUUGAAAUACCACCCUUUAAUGUUUGAUGUUCUAACGUUGGCCCCUGACCGGGGUUGCGGACAGUGUCUGGUGGGUAGUUUGACUGGGGCGGUCUCCUCCCAAAGCGUAACGGAGGAGCACGAAGGUUAGCUAAUCCUGGUCGGACAUCAGGAGGUUAGUGCAAUGGCAUAAGCUAGCUUGACUGCGAGCGUGACGGCGCGAGCAGGUGCGAAAGCAGGUCAUAGUGAUCCGGUGGUUCUGAAUGGAAGGGCCAUCGCUCAACGGAUAAAAGGUACUCCGGGGAUAACAGGCUGAUACCGCCCAAGAGUUCAUAUCGACGGCGGUGUUUGGCACCUCGAUGUCGGCUCAUCACAUCCUGGGGCUGAAGUAGGUCCCAAGGGUAUGGCUGUUCGCCAUUUAAAGUGGUACGCGAGCUGGGUUUAGAACGUCGUGAGACAGUUCGGUCCCUAUCUGCCGUGGGCGCUGGAGAAUUGAGGGGGGCUGCUCCUAGUACGAGAGGACCGGAGUGGACGCAUCACUGGUGUUCGGGUUGUCAUGCCAAUGGCACUGCCCGGUAGCUAAAUGCGGAAGAGAUAAGUGCUGAAAGCAUCUAAGCACGAAACUUGCCCCGAGAUGAGUUCUCCCUGAGACUUUAAGUCUCCUGAAGGAACGUUAAAGACGAUGACGUUGAUAGGCCGGGUGUGUAAGCGCAGCGAUGCGUUGAGCUAACCGGUACUAAUGAACCGUGAGGCUUAACCUU
rnacentral:rRNA from 1 species